GGGAGCCCCACGAUUCUUGUUUGUUUAUUUUCUAUUCUGAAAGUAAGCUUUGAGCCCAGAUAAACUUAAUAUUUUUUGGCAGCCAUUCAAAUUACUGGUGGCUUCAAAUUCACCUGUAAUCUUUAUAGUUUCUGCAUCACCCAUAUGAUAUGAUGUAUCUGAAUCUGGUGUUUGAAAAAGUGAUUAGGAGGAGAUUCUCUAGACUUUCUAAAGAUCAGAGCAUUUGAUUUCCUUUCUUAGCUCAUACAUAUUCCGGUGUUCAAAAAAAAAAAAGCUCAUACAUAUUCCAAAAUCCCAAUUUCAGUUAGGGCAUCGUUUCAUUGAUAUGGUUCAGACAUGUUAGCAGUGUAUCCCUCGGGAGCUAUCAAAAAAUUCCACAUUCCAUUUAGCUUCAAUGCCCCUUCGCGCGGUUACAGAACCACUACUUUUGGUCAAUUGAUUAGUAGUUGUUCUGUAUUCUUGGAAUCAAAAGUUCCUUGGAGCAAUGUAGAGCGUUAUCACUCAUCCUUUUCUCCACCAGGCCAAGUUAAUCAUCGAAGGAGUUGUAUGUUUUGUCGUUCACGCAACAACUCGGAUGAAGAGUACCGUUCAUCACGCAACAUAGCUAUAAGUCUUUUAAGACGUUACAGGACAGUGAUUGAGCGCGGUCAAGGGGAAACCUUAAAAGAAUUCAUCUCUGCUGGUGUGAACGCUUAUGCGCUCGGUUGUACAGAUGAAGAUUUGGGAAAAGAGCUUAUGGCUAUGCAAGAAUCAGGUAUAGAGAUCGAUAGAAUGGAGAGUUACCACGGAAGCACACAAACUAAGUCCAAGAUUUUGGUGUCCGAGGUUGAUGAAUGCAUAUUGUGGCUUAGCAUUGUUUUCAUCACGAUCUUGUGUACGCCGCAACCCACGAUUGUGAGAUGGUCAUCGACUCCUUCGGUUUCAGAUAAAACUCUAAGCAAAUGGAGAGGCUUUUGUGCGGUCAUAGCCAAUGCAUACUAUAUCAGGGGAAUGGCAUGGCUGCCGGUGAAGACUCUUCAAUUGGAGCAGAUGGCAGUAAUGGGACACGCGGAGGAGCCGUCGGUUGUAGCUAGCAGAAUGCGACUGGUCUUUAGCACUCUCGAGGUAGUAAGUCCACAGUGGCCACAGGUUUAAAUAUGAUGUACAGUGAGUCCACUAUCACGUGCAAGUAUGCAACAUACACACCAGAUUGACAUUACACCAGUGUUGACAUUACAUAACAGUAACUCGAAAAGGAAAGCUAAAGACGGUGGCUGGAGUUAUAAAUAGAGAGGUAGUCAAGGCUUUGAAGAUCAUCCGAAACAUAAGACCAAGAUAGAGAGAGCUAAAGAGAGAAAGCUCAAAGUUAGAAGAAACUAGAGGCAAGAGACAUUGUUCGAGUCAUGUCGCUUCGGGAUAGAGUUUCUUUAAUCUCUAAUUCUUUGUUGUGUUUUCCUAUCGAGUGCUUAGAGCGUUUGUAUAAACCCUUUGAUUGAUAGUGGAUGUUGUGGGAGACGGUUCCCACCCCAGAGGUACCGUAAGAGAACUGGGUUAAAAA